CGCGGCCUAUCAGCUUGUUGGUGAGGUAACGGCUCACCAAGGCAACAACGGGUAGCUGGUCUGAGAGGACGAUCAGCCACACUGGGACUGAGACACGGCCCAGACUCCUACGGGAGGCAGCAGCAGGGAAUAUUGCACAAUGGGCGAAAGCCUGAUGCAGCGACGCCGCGUGAGGGAUGAAUGCCUUCGGGUUGUAAACCUCUUUCAGGAGGGAAGAAGCGAAAGUGACGGUACCUCCAGAAGAAGACCCGGCCAACUACGUGCCAGCAGCCGCGGUAAUACGUAGGGGUCAAGCGUUGUCCGGAUUCAUUGGGCGUAAAGAGCUCGUAGGCGGCUCAGCAAGUCGGUCGUGAAAGCCCGGGGCUCAACCCCGGGACGCCGAUCGAAACUGCUGUGGCUAGGGUUCGGUAGAGGAGAGUGGAAUUCCCGGUGUAGCGGUGAAAUGCGCAGAUAUCGGGAGGAACACCAGUAGCGAAGGCGGCUCUCUGGGCCGACACCGACGCUGAGGAGCGAAAGCUAGGGGAGCAAACAGGAUUAGAUACCCUGGUAGUCCUAGCCGUAAACGUUGGGCACUAGGUGUGGCGGACUCAUUGACGUCUGCCGUGCCGCAGCUAACGCAUUAAGUGCCCCGCCUGGGGAGUACGG
rnacentral:rRNA from 1 species